rnacentral:rRNA from 1 species
GACGAACGCUGGCGGCGUGCUUAACACAUGCAAGUCGAACGGAAAGGCCCUGCUUUUGUGGGGUGCUCGAGUGGCGAACGGGUGAGUAACACGUGAGUAACCUGCCCUUGACUUUGGGAUAACUUCAGGAAACUGGGGCUAAUACCGGAUAGGAGCUCCUGCUGCAUGGUGAGGGUUGGAAAGUUUCGGCGGUUGGGGAUGGACUCGCGGCUUAUCAGCUUGUUGGUGGGGUAGUGGCUUACCAAGGCUUUGACGGGUAGCCGGCCUGAGAGGGUGACCGGCCACAUUGGGACUGAGAUACGGCCCAGACUCCUACGGGAGGCAGCAGUGGGGAAUAUUGCACAAUGGGCGGAAGCCUGAUGCAGCAACGCCGCGUGCGGGAUGACGGCCUUCGGGUUGUAAACCGCUUUCGCCUGUGGCGAAGCGUGAGUGACGGUAAUGGGUAAAGAAGCACCGGCUAACUACGUG